rnacentral:rRNA from 1 species
UACGUAGGGUGCAAGCGUUGUCCGGAAUUAUUGGGCGUAAAGAGCUCGUAGGCGGUUUGUCGCGUCUGCUGUGAAAACUCGAGGCUCAACCUCGAGAGGUCGGUGGAAACCGUUUGGCUAGAGUCCGGAAGAGGAGAGUGGAAUUCCCGGUGUAGCGGUGAAAUGCGCAGAUAUCAGGAAGAACACCCGUGGCUAAGGCGGCUCUCUAGUACGGUACUGACGCUGAGACGCGAAAGCGUGGGGAGCGAACAGG